CGCGGGGGCGCCCCCCUCGGCCGGGCGCUCGGGUUUCAGCCGCCGCUCCUCCGCGCCCCGCCCGCGCCUGGCCCGCUCGCCGGCGCCGGGAGAGACCUCGUAACGGAACUGGGACGCCAGCGCUGCAUUGUGGGAGCUUUUAAAGCGGCGGGGAGCUCGGCGCGACCCUCGGGCCCACCGGGCCACGCUCGCCCGGCCCGCGACGCCCCCCCGCUGUCGCCUGGCCCGCGACGCACCGAGGCCUGAGGACCCGAAAGCCGGGCGCGGGGAGAUGACCGGUGGCUCGUGACGGUCCCACGGGCAAAAUCUUCCAUCGCCCGGGGCUGAGACUUGUCAAACUGCCCUCUACGGUCACCCGGAAAGUAGGAGGCUUUUUCUGCAGAGGGGAAAAAAAUCAAAAAGAGCCGUUCCAUCCCCCCUCCAAGGACUGGGUUUGAAUUGCUUUUCAUCUGCAGUGGCUGUGAUUCAGCGUCCCUCUUAGCAGCAGGCAAUGACAGAGGCAGGAGAGGGGAAAAAAAAAAAGAAAGAAAGAAAAAACACAGCAAAUGAAUCAAACGGACGUAGCAGGCAAGAGUGUGGUUAUCGUUGGACCAGGAUUCAGGAUCUGACUGAGUAGCUGACUCUUAAUCCAGUUUGUGUUGAUCACCAGGAGGAUCUGGACCUCAGUAUUACCACAUCUAGAGCUAUAAUCACAUCCCUGUUAAGCCUUCCUGAGAUCACACCAAAUGUCCUUGAUGGGAAUUGUAAACAACCCUUACUUCUGGUUUCUAAUGAUAUUCCAGGAAAGGAGCCUAACUAGAGUCAGUGAUAUGCCAACUCCACCUUUGCCUUCCACCAUGUUUGGAAGCUCCCUGAGGCCUCACCAGGAGCAGAUGCUCGUCCCAUGCUUCCUAUAAGCCUGCAGAACUGGAAAAGAAAGCUGGAUAAAGUAUUUAUAGAAGAUAGAGGACCUGUGGUGGCUCAUGCCUGUAAUCCAAGGUGGAAGGAUUGCUUGAGGCCAGAAGUUCAAGACCAGUCCAAGCAACAUAGCAAGGCCCCAUCUCUACAAAAAAUGAAAAUAAAAUUAGCCGAGCGUGAUGGCUCAUGCCUGUAGUUCUAGCUUCUAGAGAGGCUGAGGCAGGAGGAUUGCUUGAGUCCAGGAGUUCAAGAUUACAGUGAGCUAUGGUCACACCACUGCACUCCAGCCUGGGUGAUGGAGUGAGACUGUCUCAAUAAAAAGACAAAAAGGCUGGCCAGGGGCAGUGGUUCAUGCCUGUAAACCCAGCACUUUGGGAGGCAAAGGCAGGAGGAUUGCUUAAGCCCAGGAAUUUGAGAUCAGCCUGGACAACAUGGUCAAGGAAGCUUUUCCUGAUCCACUAACUAAGGACAAUCAAACCCUUCAUGAUCUAGAAUCUGGAGACUGUGUCUUCUGGGAAUAGUAUCAGAGAAAGACUGCCCUUACUGCCCACAUGUAGCAAAACUUUGAGACGUUGAAUUAUGGGUCCAUAAUCUCACAACUCAGAGGGGCACCUCUAGACUCUUGGAACUGUAUAUCUAUUGGAGACUUUAAGGUAAAGCUGAACAGAGAGACGUUUUUCUCCAGAAGCAGACAGCACCAUAGUCAUGGACAGCUUUCCCAAGAUCACAGAUCAAGACUUCUCUGCCGUCAUGAGACUCAUAACCUCUUAAUUUUUUCUUGCUUAUGCUUCUGUGAACAAUAGAAUUGGAAAAGGGGUGGUCCCGCGUGCACCCAUAGGGUAUACUUUUAUUUGUGGAGGAUUUUGCUGCCAACCUUAUACAUGGGCAAACUUAUGCCUUCAUGGAUGGAAGAUAAAGGGCUAAUAUGGGUUAGAAAUUUUAAUGGUACCUUUGUUUCUCCAUAAUCAUUCAGAAACAGAACACUGGUCCACUCUUGUUAACCUACAUCAUAGGUUGAAGAGAACAUUGCCAGGAGGCCUUCAUCCUUCCAGAUGGGCACCAUUUGUUGGGUCUUUUUCCGUGGUAUGAAGAAAAUGAAGCAAUGAUUAGAAAUUGGUCCCUCGGCCGGGCACAAUGGCUCAUGCCUGUAAUCCCAUCACUUUGGCAGGCCGAGGCGGGUGGAUCACCUGAGGUCAGGAGUUUGAGACCAGCCUGACCAAUGUGGUGAAACGCCAUCUCUACUAAAAAUACAAAAAUUAGCUGGGUGUGAUGGUGCACACCUGUAAUCCAGCUACUCGGGAGGCUGAGACAGGAGAAUUGCUUGAACCUGGGAGGCAGAGGUUGCAGUGAGCCAAGAUCACCCCACUGCAUUCCAGGUUGGGCAACAGAGCAAGACUCUGUCUCAAAAAAAAAAGAAGAAAGAAAGAAAUUGAUCCCUCAUAAUAGGCUGUAUAGCAGAUUCUACUGCAAAGGCUAUGGUUGCACAACAGACUUCUUUGAAUUUGCUUGCUAAACUUUUACUGGAUAAUACUGGGAUUACAGGUGUGAGCCACUGUGCCCAGCCUCUCCUGUUUAACUGUAUUCAUUCUAAUGUUUACUUACUUCUUUAAUUUGUAAAAUUGGGUCACUUAGAGUUUUUUUAGCCUAUCUUGCCAUUUAGCCACUGUUACUGAUAAUUUGGAUGGAAAAGAAAAAUAAAUUAUAUCACCUCUC
rnacentral:lncRNA from 10 species